rnacentral:sRNA from 12 species
GUCGUAUAAAGAUGUAUUAGAUGCAAGACAAUCUAGCAUUUCCCUUUACGACAUUGUAAAAUAUUAGAAGUUCAAGCAAAAGUAAUUGUUGCAUGGUUAAUAAUCGAAACAAUUUGAGUUUGAACGGAAAAGGUUAACCAUAUGACCUUGUGUUGAAAAACACUAAAAAUGAUCUUAAAUAACAAUUUCUUAAUCUUUGUUAUUUUAAGUUAUGGUUUU